GAUGAACGCUGGCGGCGUGCCUCAGACAUGCAAGUCGAACGGUUAAAGCUCCCUUCGGGGAGUGUAUAGAGUGGCGCACGGGUGAGUAACACGUAAGUAAUCUACCCUCGAGUGGGGAAUAACGUCCGGAAACGGACGCUAAUACCGCAUAAUGCAGCGGCACCGCAAGGUGACAGUUGUUAAAGAUUUAUCGCUUGAGGAGGAGCUUGCGGCAGAUUAGCUAGUUGGUAAGGUAAUGGCUUACCAAGGCUACGAUCUGUAACCGGUCUAAGAGGACGGUCGGUCACACUGACACUGAAUAACGGGUCAGACUCCUACGGGAGGCAGCAGUCGGGAAUUUUGGGCAAUGGGCGAAAGCCUGACCCAGCAACGCCGCGUGAAGGAUGAAGUAUUUCGGUAUGUAAACUUCGAAAGAAUGGGAAGAAUCAAUGACGGUACCAUUUAUAAGGUCCGGCUAACUACGUGCCAGCCGCCGCCGUAAAAC
rnacentral:rRNA from 1 species